rnacentral:sRNA from 1 species
AGGUGAAAAAUAUUAUUAGAAAAUAUUAGCCAGGUGUGCCUUGUUUAAAUGUGAAAUAAAAAGUGUUUAGAUAAUGGAAAUGGAAGGAUAUGAUUAUAAAUGGAAAGAUCUGUAAGCAGCGAGGUCUACUUGAAGUGCUUUAUGAUAUAUUUCGUCUUCCUCUACCUGUUGUGACUGAGGAGUUCAUAGAAGCGCUACUCAGUGUAGAUCCAGGGAGGUUCCAAGACAGUUGGAGGCUUUCAGAUGGCUUUGUGGCAGCUGAGGCAAAAACUAUUCUUCCUCAUCGUGCCAGAUCCAGGCCAGACCUCAUGGAUAAUUAUUUGGCACUCAUACUCUCUGCAUUUAUUCGUAAUGGACUUUUAGAGGGUCUAGUUGAAGUGAUAACAAACAGUGAUGAUCAUAUCUCAGUUAGAGCUACCAUCCUUUUAGGAGAGCUUUUACAUAUGGCAAACACAAUUCUUCCUCAUUCACAUAGCCAUCAUUUGCACUGCUUGCCAACCCUAAUGAAUAUGGCUGCAUCCUUUGAUAUCCCUAAGGAAAAGAGACUGCGAGCCAGUGCAGCCUUGAACUGUUUAAAACGCUUCCAUGAAAUGAAGAAACGAGGACCUAAGCCUUAUAGUCUUCAUUUAGACCACAUU